UACGUAGGGUGCGAGCGUUUGUCCGGAAUUAUUGGGCGUAAAGGGCUCGUAGGCGGUUUGUCGCGUCGGGAGUGAAAUCCACUGGCUUAACUGGUGGCUUGCUUUCGAUACGGGCAGACUGGAGGUAUGCAGGGGAGAACGGAAUUCCUGGUGUAGCGGUGAAAUGCGCAGAUAUCAGGAGGAACACCGGUGGCGAAGGCGGUUCUCUGGGCAUGUCCUGACGCUGAGGAGCGAAAGUGUGGGGAGCGAACAGG
rnacentral:rRNA from 1 species